CGGUGUUUCCAUACCUGGAGUCGCUAUCCUUCCGUGAAGCACAGACUCGCUGGGCAGCAGAUCUUUUGAAUUGGAGAGUACAAAUGCCUUCUGUUCAAGGCCGUCUUCAAGGGAGGCCAGUCCGUACAACCUAACACCGAGAUUUCAAGGAAUGAGUUCCUGUGGCCCUGGCUGGAGCAUUCAUGCUCUGUGCAGCCAGGAAACUUCUCAGGACAAGGAGCACAAUGCCAGGCCUUGUCGAGGGCCGCCACGGCAGAGAGGCCAGCUCGGGGGAGUGGAGCCAACCGCAGCCCAAGGAAGUGAACCCUGCACGUCCGGAUUCUCCAAAUGUCAGGCUGUGGAGGGACCCGGACCUCCCGCAGGAACCUGGCUUCACACAGCCACAGGACAACGGCUUUCUUGAGAGGAAUACAAUGGAUAGUUCUGGAAGCAUAUUGUUUCAACAUUAACGAGUCAGUGGAGCCAUCCGGAAUGGGAGAAAGGACAGAGGGUAAUACCUACAGGACAGUGGAAUACGGGCAUAAAUAAAAAUACAGAGAAGACCAUGGUGAAACCUGAAGACAGAACCGCCAAAGCAUAGACACGAGGAAGGAGGAUUUGAUGAAGAGGGAGGUGUAGUCAUCGGCCCUUAUGGGAGAGCGAGUUCACUAUACAAGGGGACUUCAAAAAGUUCACAGAAGUGGGGACUAGCAGUUGGCAUAAUGGCUAUAU